ACUUGUCCCGGUGCUUGGAUUGCAGCACAUGGGCCAGCUCGCGCAGGUGGCCCCGGUGCCGCUGUUCAUCGGGCCGCGCGGGGAAGGCGGCGGCCAAGAUGCGCUCCGUCACGUAGGAUGAGCAAUACCCACAGCACUCCGUUCAAGGUCAUCUCCUGGGGGCCCUCUCUGGAGCCACCAGACCUCUGGACACCAUGGCCAGGUUCCUUGCCCUCCCCACCCCAUCCCAGAGCGCACUCACCAACUCCACGGGAGGCAAGGCCUGACAGGCUGAAGUCACCUGGAAGGGGACCGAGUAAGGAACUGAGCUCCUGGUGAAGGGCUCUCGUGGGCUUGAGGAUGGGGCAGCCCCUCAGCUUCAGGAGGAAGGUGGAGGGGCCUUCAGUGGAUGGGCACAGGCUCCAGCUGAGGUUGCGCUAUUUAAGGGCACCUCCCCUCUGGCCUCUUGGUCCCCCACCCCCCAGGCCCCCCACUUGUUGCUCUUGGCGCUCAGCCCCCAGCCCACACAGACCCCCAUUCAUCCAGCUGUAGGGCAGGAGUUAUAUAUAGAGCCAAGCAGGCAGGCCAUGGCCAGGGAUGGACACUGG
rnacentral:lncRNA from 1 species